AUGGAGGAGUAAAUAAAUGAUGGUUCUUAUUUUUUUAGAGUUUGUUGGUUGAUGAUUACUAGUUGCUAAUUUGUUUUUCUGCGUCACGAAUUAUAUCCAAGUUAGACUAUAUAAAUCUUGGCUGUUUGAGAAAAGCUGUGGAGAAGAAGAAUAACCUUAUGACGCCAUUUAAAAAACUACUCAGGAAUUGUUAAAUAUGAUGUAGUGAGUCGACCAAGAAGUCCGUGUGCACGGUCUUAUUCGUGACUACUAGCGCACAACUUUUCUACUGUUUAAUUACCUUAUCUCAAAUUUAGUCGACAUCGGGCUUAAACCAUUCCACUGCGCGGCGUGGACGAAAUUCAUCAGAAUCUGCACCGUCGUCCAUGCGUGAUAUGGC
rnacentral:lncRNA from 1 species